UACGUAGGGGGCAAGCGUUGUCCGGAAUCAUUGGGCGUAAAGAGCGUGUAGGCGGUUCGGUAAGUCGGCUGUGAAAGUCCAGGGCUCAACCCUGGGAUGCCGGUCGAUACUGCCGGACUAGAGUUCGGAAGAGGCGAGUGGAAUUCCCGGUGUAGCGGUGAAAUGCGCAGAUAUCAGGAAGAACACCGACGGCGAAGGCAGCUCGCUGGGACGGUACUGACGCUGAGGCGCAAAAGCGUGGGGAGCGAACAGG
rnacentral:rRNA from 1 species